rnacentral:rRNA from 1 species
CCCUUAGAUGUUCUGGGCUGCACGCGUGCUACAAUGGCGCUUGCAACAAGAUUGCCAACCCGAAAGGGUGAGCGGAUCUUUGAAGUGGCGUCGUGAUCGGGACAGUUGAUUGCAAUUAUUCGACUCGAACGAGGAAUUCCUUGUAAUCGCGAUUCAUCAUAUCGCGCUGAAUACGUCCCUGCCCUUUGUACACACCGCCCGUCGCUCCUACCGAUUGAGCGAUCCGGUGAAUGUUUUGGACUGGUGUCCGCAAGCGUUUCGCUUCGGACGCUACGAAAUUUUGUAAACCUUAUCGCUUAGAGGAAGGAAAAGUCGUAAC